rnacentral:rRNA from 2 species
ACUCUGGUAUUGAUUGGUGCUUGCAUCAUGAUUUACAUUUGAGUGAGUGGCGAACUGGUGAGUAACACGUGGGAAACCUGCCCAGAAGCGGGGGAUAACACCUGGAAACAGAUGCUAAUACCGCAUAACAACUUGGACCGCAUGGUCCGAGUUUGAAAGAUGGCUUCAGCUAUCACUUUUGGAUGGUCCCGCGGCGUAUUAGCUAGAUGGUGGGGUAACGGCUCACCAUGGCAAUGAUACGUAGCCGACCUGAGAGGGUAAUCGGCCACAUUGGGACUGAGACACGGCCCAAACUCCUACGGGAGGCAGCAGUAGGGAAUCUUCCACAAUGGACGAAAGUCUGAUGGAGCAACGCCGCGUGAGUGAAGAAGGGUUUCGGCUCGUAAAACUCUGUUGUUAAAGAAGAACAUAUCUGAGAGUAACUGUUCAGGUAUUGACGGUAUUUAACCAGAAAGCCACGGCUAACUACGUGCCAGCAGCCGCGGUAAUACGUAGGUGGCAAGCGUUGUCCGGAUUUAUUGGGCGUAAAGCGAGCGCAGGCGGUUUUUUAAGUCUGAUGUGAAAGCCUUCGGCUCAACCGAAGAAGUGCAUCGGAAACUGGGAAACUUGAGUGCAGAAGAGGACAGUGGAACUCCAUGUGUAGCGGUGAAAUGCGUAGAUAUAUGGAAGAACACCAGUGGCGAAGGCGGCUGUCUGGUCUGUAACUGACGCUGAGGCUCGAAAGUAUGGGUAGCAAACAGGAUUAGAUACCCUGGUAGUCCAUACCGUAAACGAUGAAUGCUAAGUGUUGGAGGGUUUCCGCCCUUCAGUGCUGCAGCUAACGCAUUAAGCAUUCCGCCUGGGGAGUACGGCCGCAAGGCUGAAACUCAAAGGAAUUGACGGGGGCCCGCACAAGCGGUGGAGCAUGUGGUUUAAUUCGAAGCUACGCGAAGAACCUUACCAGGUCUUGACAUACUAUGCAAAUCUAAGAGAUUAGACGUUCCCUUCGGGGACAUGGAUACAGGUGGUGCAUGGUUGUCGUCAGCUCGUGUCGUGAGAUGUUGGGUUAAGUCCCGCAACGAGCGCAACCCUUAUUAUCAGUUGCCAGCAUUAAGUUGGGCACUCUGGUGAGACUGCCGGUGACAAACCGGAGGAAGGUGGGGAUGACGUCAAAUCAUCAUGCCCCUUAUGACCUGGGCUACACACGUGCUACAAUGGAUGGUACAACGAGUUGCGAACUCGCGAGAGUAAGCUAAUCUCUUAAAGCCAUUCUCAGUUCGGAUUGUAGGCUGCAACUCGCCUACAUGAAGUCGGAAUCGCUAGUAAUCGCGGAUCAGCAUGCCGCGGUGAAUACGUUCCCGGGCCUUGUACACACCGCCCGUCACACCAUGAGAGUUUGUAACACCCAAAGUCGGUG